rnacentral:rRNA from 1 species
GACAGAGGGUGCAAACGUUGUUCGGAAUUCCUGGGCGUAAAGCGAGUGUAGGCGGUUUAGAAAGUCGGAUGUGAAAGCCCCGGGCUCAACCCGGGAAGUGCACUCGAUACUACCAAGCUAGAGUAUCGGAGAGGUUGGCGGAAUUCUCGGUGUAGAGGUGAAAUUCGUAGAUAUCGAGAGGAACACCGGCGGCGAAGGCGGCCAACUGGACGAAUACUGACGCUGAGACUCGAAAGCGUGGGUAGCAAACAGG